rnacentral:lncRNA from 1 species
CACUACACCAAAUGACUCAGACUUUCAAACUCUUGAGAGGCAUACUUGUCUUUAAUAUGUGGCAACAAUCCUUGGAAAGCCAAAUCGGCUAGCUGCUGAUCAUCCAAAACCAGACUAUAGCAUUUGUUUUUGACAUCCCACAACCUUUGUACAAAGCUUUCAACCGAUUCAUCAUUGCGCUGCCUCAGCCUGACUAAAUCGGUAAUCUUCUUCUCAUGAACUUCAGAAAAGAAGUACUUAUGGAACUGUUUCUCUAGAUUGGCCCA